CCUACGGGAGGCAGCAGUGAGGAAUAUUGGUCAAUGGGCGAGAGCCUGAACCAGCCAAGUCGCGUGAAGGAUGAAGGAUCUAUGGUUUGUAAACUUCUUUUAUAUGGGAAUAAAGUGAGGAACGUGUUCCUUUUUGUAUGUACCAUAUGAAUAAGCAUCGGCUAACUCCGUGCCAGCAGCCGCGGUAAUACGGAGGAUGCGAGCGUUAUCCGGAUUUAUUGGGUUUAAAGGGUGCGUAGGUGGUUAAUUAAGUCAGCGGUGAAAGUUUGUGGCUCAACCAUAAAAUUGCCGUUGAAACUGGUUGACUUGAGUAUAUAUGAGGUAGGCGGAAUGCGAGGUGUAGCGGUGAAAUGCGUAGAUAUCAGGCAGAACUCCGAUUGCGAAGGCAGCUUACUAAACUAUAACUGACGCUGAAGCACGAAAGCGUGGGGAGCAAACAGGAUUAGAUACCCGAGUAGUC
rnacentral:rRNA from 1 species